rnacentral:rRNA from 1 species
AACGAACGCUGGCGGCGUGGAUAAGACAUGCAAGUCGAGCGGGAACUUUCGCUGUAGCAAUACAGUGAAAGUUCUAGCGGCGAACGGGUGCGUAACACGUGGACAAUCUGCCUUAAAGUGGGGGAUAGCUCGGCGAAAGCCGAAUUAAUACCGCAUGUGAUGAGAGACGACAUCGUCUUGAAAUCAAAGCCGGGGCAACCUGGCGCUUUUUGAGGAGUCCGCGGCCAUCAGCUAGUUGGUGAGGUAACGGCCCACCAAGGCUAUGACGGGUAGCGUGGUCUGAGAGGACGAUCAGCCACACUGGGACUGAGACACGGCCCAGACUCCUACGGGAGGCAGCAGUGGGGAAUCUUGCGCAAUGCGCGAAAGCGUGACGCAGCAACGCCGC